UACAGAGGUCUCGAGCGUUGUUCGGAUUCAUUGGGCGUAAAGGGUGCGUAGGCGGGCUGCCAAGUUUGGGGUGAAAUCCUCCGGCUCAACCGGGGAAGUGCCUCGAAUACUGGCGGUCUGGAGGGAGGUAGGGGCGUGCGGAACUAACGGUGGAGCGGUGAAAUGCGUUGAUAUCGGUAGGAACUCCGGUGGCGAAGGCGGCACGCUAGACCUCUUCUGACGCUGAGGCACGAAAGCCAGGGGAGCGAACGGG
rnacentral:rRNA from 1 species